rnacentral:misc_RNA from 1 species
GUACUUCAACACAAUUUCUGGUCGCUUACCACCUAUUACCCACUUAUCCUUCUCAAGUAUCUUCAAACUUGCUUAUGCUUAAGCUCACAUUUCGAUGCUCCACAAUCGGAUCGGACAGAUCAGGCGGUGUCGGAGUCGUCGAAGUCGUCCUCGAAGGCGUUGAAGAAGUCGACGGCGUCGAGGAGGACGGGGGGCUUGUCGAAGGGAUCGCCGAAGUGGUCGACGUCGUCAACCUCCAUGCCGACAUGUUCCUCCUCCAUGUCCUGGUCGAGAAAGAAGGAUCUCGCCGACGGCCUCAUCUUGAUCGCCU